rnacentral:rRNA from 1 species
UACGUAGGGGGCAAGCGUUGUCCGGAAUCAUUGGGCGUAAAGAGCGUGUAGGCGGCCCGGUAAGUCCGCUGUAAAAGUCCAGGGCUCAACCCUGGAAAGCCGGUGGAUACUGUCGGGCUCGAGUCCGGAAGAGGCGAGUGGAAUUCCUGGUGUAGCGGUGAAAUGCGCAGAUAUCAGGAGGAACACCAAUGGCGAAGGCAGCUCGCUGGGACGGUACUGACGCUGAGACGCGAAAGCGUGGGGAGCAAACAGG